rnacentral:rRNA from 1 species
GAUGAACGCUGGCGGCGUGCCUAAUACAUGCAAGUCGAGCGAACGGACGAGAAGCUUGCUUUUCUGAUGUUAGCGGCGGACGGGUGAGUAACACGUGGAUAACCUACCUAUAAGACUGGGAUAACUUCGGGAAACCGGAGCUAAUACCGGAUAAUAUUUUGAACCGCAUGGUUCAAAAGUGAAAGACGGUCUUGCUGUCACUUAUAGAUGGAUCCGCGCUGCAUUAGCUAGUUGGUAAGGUAACGGCUUACCAACGCAACGAUGCAUAGCCGACCUGAGAGGGUGAUCGGCCACACUGGAACUGAGACACGGUCCAGACUCCUACGGGAGGCAGCAGUAGGGAAUCUUCCGCAAUGGGCGAAAGCCUGACGGAGCAACGCCGCGUGAGUGAUGAAGGUCUUCGGAUCGUAAAACUCUGUUAUUAGGGAAGAACAUAUGUGUAAGUAACUGUGCACAUCUUGACGGUACCUAAUCAGAAAGCCACGGCUAACUACGUG